UGGGGAAUUUUGCACAAUGGGGGAAACCCUGAUGCAGCGACGCCGCGUGAUUUAGAAGGCCUUCGGGUUGUAAAAAUCUUUUCUAUGGGAAGAAAAUGACAGUACCAUAGGAAUAAGGACCGGCUAAUUACGUGCCAGCAGCCGCGGUAAUACGUAAGGCCCGAGCGUUGUCCGGAAUCAUUGGGCGUAAAGGGUACGUAGGCGGGUAAGCAAGUUAGAAGUGAAAUCCUAUAGCUCAACGAUAGUAAGCUUUUAAAACUGCUCAUCUUGAGGGAUGGAAGGGAAAGUGGAAUUCCUAGUGUAGCGGUGAAAUGCGCAGAUAUUAGGAGGAAUACCGGUGGCGAAGGCGACUUUCUGGCCAUAACCUGACGCUGAGGUACGAAAGCGUGGGUAGCAAACAGG
rnacentral:rRNA from 1 species